rnacentral:rRNA from 1 species
CAAAUCAUCAUGGCCCUUAUGUCCUGGGCUACACACGUGCUACAAUGGCCUGUACAAAGCGAAGCGAAACAGUGAUGUGAAGCAAAACGCAUAAAGCAGGUCUCAGUCCGGAUUGAAGUCUGAAACUCGACUUCAUGAAGUUGGAAUCGCUAGUAAUCGUAUAUCAGAAUGAUACGGUGAAUACGUUCUCGGGCCUUGUACACACCGCCCGUCACACCACCCGAGUUGAGGAUACCCGAAGCUAUUAUUCUAACCCGUAAGGGAGGAAGGUAUUUAAGGUAUGUUUAGUGAGGGGGGUGAAGUCGUAACAAGGUAGCCGUACUGGAAAGUGCGGCUGGAUCACCUCCUUU